AGAGUUUGAUCAUGGCUCAGGACGAACGCUGGCGGCGUGCUUAACACAUGCAAGUCGAGCGGUAAGGCCCUUUCGGGGGUACACGAGCGGCGAACGGGUGAGUAACACGUGGGUGACCUGCCCUCAGCUCUGGGAUAAGCCCGGGAAACUGGGUCUAAUACCGGAUAGGACACAUCGGCGCAUGUUGGUGUGUGGAAAGAUUCGGUUCGGCUGGGGAUGGGCCCGCGGCCUAUCAGCUUGUUGGUGGGGUGAUGGCCUACCAAGGCGGUGACGGGUAGCCGGCCUGAGAGGGCGACCGGCCACACUGGGACUGAGACACGGCCCAGACUCCUACGGGAGGCAGCAGUGGGGAAUAUUGCGCAAUGGGCGGAAGCCUGACGCAGCGACGCCGCGUGGGGGAUGACGGCCUUCGGGUUGUAAACCUCUUUCGCCAGGGACGAAGCUUUUGUGACGGUACCUGGAUAAGAAGCACCGGCCAACUACGUGCCAGCCGCCGCGGUAAUUC
rnacentral:rRNA from 1 species